GAAACAAUUUUCCGAAAUAGUGACAAAAAAAUAUCAAUGCUGGGUAUUAUAUAUCUAGUAAUUGGAAUGAGUACAAUUUAAAUCCCUUAAACAAGUAACAAUUAGAGGGCAAGUCUGGUGCCAGCAGCCGCGGUAAUUCCAGCUCUAAUAGCGUAUAUUAAUAUUGUUGCAGUUAAAAAGCUCGUAGUUGAAAUUUGGAACUUUAUUGUAUUGGUUUGUCUUUUGUAUGAACUAUAUAAUGGGUUUCUUCCUACUAGAGUUCGAUUCUGUUCUUAACUGAAUGGAGUAGCUAUCUCUCGGGGUAGUCAGUUGGUUGUUAUGUCUCCACUAAUAAGCAGAGAGGAGUAAAACCUUCAAAAGUAAGUUAUGUGGGUCAAGAUAUAGUGAAUUUAAUUGGAGUUCUAGUUCAUUUAC
rnacentral:rRNA from 1 species